rnacentral:rRNA from 1 species
UGGGGAAUAUUGGACAAUGGGCGAAAGCCUGAUCCAGCCAUGCCGCGUGUGUGAAGAGGGUCUUCGGAUUGUAAAGCACUUUAAGUUGGGAGGAAGGGCAGUAAGCGAAUACCUUGCUGUUUUGACGUUACCGACAGAAUAAGCACCGGCUAACUCUGUGCCAGCAGCCGCGGUAAUACAGAGGGUGCAAGCGUUAAUCGGAUUUACUGGGCGUAAAGCGUGCGUAGGCGGCUAAUUGAGUCGGAUGUGAAAUCCCCGAGCUUAACUUGGGAAUUGCAUUCGAUACUGGUUAGCUAGAGUGUGGGAGAGGAUGGUAGAAUUCCAGGUGUAGCGGUGAAAUGCGUAGAGAUCUGGAGGAAUACCGAUGGCGAAGGCAGCCAUCUGGCCUAACACUGACGCUGAGGUACGAAAGCAUGGGGAGCAAACAGG